rnacentral:rRNA from 1 species
GGCAGCAGUGGGGAAUAUUGGACAAUGGGCGAAAGCCUGAUCCAGCAAUGCCGCGUGAGUGAUGAAGGCCUUAGGGUUGUAAAGCUCUUUUACCCGGGAUGAUAAUGACAGUACCGGGAGAAUAAGCCCCGGCUAACUCCGUGCCAGCAGCCGCGGUAAUACGGAGGGGGCUAGCGUUGUUCGGAAUUACUGGGCGUAAAGCGCACGUAGGCGGCUUUGCAAGUUAGAGGUGAAAGCCCGGGGCUCAACUCCGGAAUUGCCUUUAAAACUGCAUCGCUAGAAUUGUGGAGAGGUAAGUGGAAUUCCGAGUGUAGAGGUGAAAUUCGUAGAUAUUCGGAAGAACACCAGUGGCGAAGGCGACUUACUGGACACAUAUGACGCUGA